AACGAACGCUGGCGGCAGGCCUAACACAUGCAAGUCGAGCGCGCCCUUCGUGGUGAGCGGCGGUUGGGUGAGUAACGCGUGGGAAGGUGCCCGUUUCUACGGAAUAGCCCCGGGAAAUGGAGGGUAAUGCCGGAUAAGCUCCUCUGGGGCAAGAUUUAUCGGAAAAGUAUCGGCCGGGGUUGGUUGAGGUGGCUGGUGGGGAAAGAGCCUACCAAGGCAUCGAUCGAUAGCUGGGUUGAGAGGAAGGUCAGCCACACUGGGACUGUGACACGGCCCAGACUCCUACGGGAUGCAGGCGUGGGGAAUCUAGGCAUAUGGGGUGAAUCCUGAUGUAGCCAGGGUGGGUGAGUGAUGAAGGUCUUAGGGUUGUAAAGCUCUUUAAGCUGGGAAGAUAAUGACGGUACCAGAAGAAGAAGCACCGGCUAACUUCGUG
rnacentral:rRNA from 1 species